UACGUAGGUGACAAGCGUUGUCCGGAUUUACUGGGCGUAAAGAGCGCGCAGGCGGUCGAUCAAGUCGAGUGUGAAAGCCCCCGGCUCAACUGGGGAGGGUCAUUCGAUACUGAUCGACUCGAAGGCAGGAGAGGGUAGUGGAAUUCCCGGUGUAGUGGUGAAAUGCGUAGAUAUCGGGAGGAACACCGGUGGCGAAGGCGGCCCCCUGGGUUAACACUGACGCUCAGGCACGAAAGCGUGGGGAGCAAACAGG
rnacentral:rRNA from 1 species